GAAGCGCGAGGAAGAAGGGAAGAGGCGAGCCUGUCAUGCAUAACAAGACCAAACUUUCGCUAUGGAGGGCUGCGGUGAAUGGCGAUAAGCGCGUCCGUUACCUUCGCUGGCCACGGCUACAUCUCCCUUCAUUGAGCCAAACCCAAGAAUUAAGACUAGCCAGGCCACACAAGGCUCACCUUAGCUCAGUGUACAGUGGCGGUGUAUUCAAGAGCCUAAUCUGUCUCGUUCACCCGCUCCGAAUUUCCGAAGCUCCAUGGAAUACUGAGGCGAUGCAGACGUGUGUGUAUGUGUGUGUGUUUGUGUGUGGCUGUCCUGAUGGCACCAGGUGAGAGAAAGUGAGAGGGAAAGUACGUAUAUAUACACCUGGUCAGCCCAAUGGGUCUCGACACAUCUAUAUACAACAGCCAACCGCUAGUGUCUGCUACUCGGCCAUACGAAAACCACCUUGGAGAACUGAAGCAUGCGCCACCUCACACUCCUGACAUUAGCGGUGUGUGUGACUCUCUCCCUUGCUAGACCGCCGCAGAGAUUCACGCGGCGGGACAGAGACGGGAGAGUUCUAUUUAUUGCCUUCCCUGAUUCUGCAGGAAACAUGUAUGGGCAAGGAGAUGCAGCGCAUGGAGAGGAUGCAGGACAUGGAGACGAUGGAGAAAAUGAGCAUGCAGCAGGGAAUGGAGGGGGAUAUAAUGAACAUGGAAAUACGGAAUCGGGGCAUGGGGAAAAUAACGGAAUGUCGACAACUGAAACUGUUUGUAGAGCUGUAUUCUGCGAAACGAAAAUAGGGCGCUAGUGGAGGUAUUGUUGUUAUUGUUAUGUUGGUGAUUGGUUGUAACACGUACGUAAACAACGGUAACGACAUUGGAUUAGUGCAAGAGUGUUGAUUGUUGUUAUGGUUAUUGUUGCUUUGUUAUAACACAUACAAACUGCACCUUAGCUUUAUAUACUUGUUAUCUCAUUCUUAGUGUCAGUAUGAGUGUCUUGAGUUAUUGAUGUUUUCCUUUCUUUAUCUUCAAUUUGCACUUGUAUUAUGGAUAUCUAUGUCUUUUUUUUCGGGAGUUGAAUAAACAGUUACAUUUUU